AGGCUGCCAGACCAGGAGAGGCUCGGUCCCCACAGGGCUCCCCUCCUCCCCCUUCCCUUCGCAGCAGUGUCCUCAGAAGACUCAUUGGGCGAAGGGCCCCCCCCCGCCUUGGGUGAGAGCUGCCAGGGCACUCGCUGGCAGCCCUGCUACUCAGCCUGGCUGGCCUGGCCAUAGGCUCCCUGGAGCAGUGUGGGCGGGGCUCUUCCCCCUCCUGUGACUAACUAAAGUCUGUGAGUCACUGCACAACCCAUCAAUCCCAUUAAAUGCCGUGUGCGGGCAGGCAGGCGGUGCUGCCUCUGCUGCUCCCUGCGCUGCCCCAGCCCCUGUGCAUGGGCUGCCGCCGCUUCCCCCUCUGAUACAUGGCUGGCUGGCUGGACUUGUUACAGUGUCACAUCCUCCCCGCCAGCUGCAGCACCAACUUCCCCCCCAGCUAGUCUCCUCCUGCCCGGGGCUGCUGCAAAGUGAUGGGAUAGAGCAAAGCCACUCCAGCACCUGGGCUUCUAUUUAUUACAGUCUGUCUCCCUGUCCUAUUCCUUGGUUGUUCUUCUUCCUCUCUUGCUUUUCCCUUCUUUAUUUUAUUCCUCCCUUCCCCCUUGUCUUGGAGCCUAGAUUUGUUGAGUUCUUCUGGAAAGGUGGAGAAGCUGGGAAGAUCUCCUACUGCUUUCCCAAGCUCAUGGGAGGAGCAGGGAUGGGACAGAGAAAGCUCCCAAGGGCUCCCUCUGGCCCUGCAAUGACAUCCUUCUGCCUCCAAGGGAGAGGAAUGAAGGUUUCCCUGCUGCUCCCCUUUCCUUGACUUCUUUGAGAGGACAGUGAAAUUUCCUCUUUCCAGAGGAAAAGGGGAGUGAGAUAGUAGCACCCCUUAUGAAAAAUCAACAUCAGGUAAGUGCUGGAGAGCCGAGGGGCUAUUCAUCUGGCCCGGAUCUCACCAGAUUGUGUAUCUGCAUUACAUACAUGAGUUAUUUAUUUUAAAUGAAGAGGCUAGAUUUGUGUGUGUGUGGUUUCUAUGUGUGUGUUUUUAAUGGUUAUGCUG
rnacentral:lncRNA from 1 species